rnacentral:rRNA from 1 species
UACGGGAGGGGCAAGCGUUAUCCAGCAUGACUGGGCGUAAAGAGUCCGUAGACUGUAAAGUAAGUUUUUUGUUAAAAUUUAAAACUUAAUUUUAAAAGAGCGAUUUAUACUGCUUUACUUUGAGUUUAAUACAGAAAAGUGGAAUUUUAUACGAAAGGGUGAAAUCUACAGAUAUAUAAAGGAAUGCCGGUAGCGAAGGCGACUUUUUGGUAUAAACUGACGUUAAGGGACGAAAGUGUGGGUAGCAAACAGG